UGGGCUUUUAUAAGCCCCUUAAA
rnacentral:tRNA from 1 species